CAAUAGCGUAUAUUAAAGUUGUUGCAGUUAAAAGCUCGUAGUUGGAUUUCUGGGAGAGUGCCAAUGUCCGCCGACGUGCGUGCGCAGCGGCGCUCUUUCAUCCUUCUGUUAACGGCUCUUGGCAUUCAUUUGCUGGUGUCGGGCUCAGAUAUUUUACCUUGAGAAAAUUAGAGUGUUUCAGGCAGGCUAGGCCGGAAUACAUUAGCAUGGAAUAAUGGAAUAGGACUACGGUCUCUUUGUUGGUUUGAGGGACUGCAGUAAUGAUUAAUAGGGAUAGUUGGGGGCGAUUCAUAUUUAAUUGUCAGAGGUGGAAAUUACUUGGAUUUAUUGAAAGAAUGAACUUCUUGCGAAAGACAUUUGUCCAAGGAAGUGUUUUCUAUUAAUUCAAGAACGAAAGUUAAGGGGAGUCAAAGAAUGAUCAGAUACCGU
rnacentral:rRNA from 1 species